rnacentral:rRNA from 1 species
ACGAACGCUGGCGGCAUGCCUAAUACAUGCAAGUCGAGCGAACGGAUGAGGAGCUUGCUCCUCUGACGUUAGCGGCGAAUGGGUGAGUAACACGUGGGCAACCUGCCCUGUAGUUGGGGAUAACUCCGGGAAACCGGGGCUAAUACCGAAUGAUUAAUUCUUUCUCAUGAAAGGAUUCUGAAAGACGGCUUCGGCUGUCGCUACGGGAUGGGCCCGCGGCGCAUUAGCUAGUUGGUAAGGUAACGGCUUACCAAGGCGACGAUGCGUAGCCGACCUGAGAGGGUGAUCGGCCACACUGGGACUGAGACACGGCCCAGACUCCUACGAGAGGCAGCAGUAGGGAAUCAUCCACAAUGGACGAAAGUCUGAUGGUGCAAUGCCGCGUGAGCGAAGAAGGUUUUCGGAUCGUAAAGCUCUGUUAUGAGGGAAGAACAAGUACAAGAGUAACUGCUUGUACCUUGACGGUACCUCAUUAGAAAGCCACGGCUAACUACGUG